rnacentral:rRNA from 1 species
UACGUAGGGUCCGAGCGUUGUCCGGAUUUAUUGGGCGUAAAGAGCUCGUAGGCGGUUUGUCGCGUCGGCCGUGAAAUCUCCACGCUUAACGUGGAGCGUGCGGUCGAUACGGGCAGACUUGAGUUCGGUAGGGGAGACUGGAAUUCCUGGUGUAGCGGUGAAAUGCGCAGAUAUCAGGAGGAACACCGGUGGCGAAGGCGGGUCUCUGGGCCGAUACUGACGCUGAGGAGCGAAAGCGUGGGGAGCGAACAGG